rnacentral:rRNA from 1 species
AUUGAACGCUGGCGGCAUGCUUUACACAUGCAAGUCGAACGGUAACAGGCCGCAAGGUGCUGACGAGUGGCGAACGGGUGAGUAAUGCAUCGGAACGUGCCCAGUCGUGGGGGAUAACGCAGCGAAAGCUGCGCUAAUACCGCAUACGAUCUAUGGAUGAAAGCGGGGGACCGUAAGGCCUCGCGCGAUUGCAGCGGCCGAUGUCAGAUUAGGUAGUUGGUGGGGUAAAGGCUCACCAAGCCAACGAUCUGUAGCUGGUCUGAGAGGACGACCAGCCACACUGGGACUGAGACACGGCCCAGACUCCUACGGGAGGCAGCAGUGGGGAAUUUUGGACAAUGGGCGCAAGCCUGAUCCAGCAAUGCCGCGUGCAGGAAGAAGGCCUUCGGGUUGUAAACUGCUUCUGUACGGAACGAAACGGCUCUGGUUAAUACCUGGGGCUAAUGACGGUACCGUAAGAAUAAGCACCGGCUAACUACGUGCCAGCCGCCGCCGUAAUAC